ensembl:lncRNA
AGUUCCCAUUCAUCCUGUGUCCUCUAACACACUUGUGCUCUUUAUCCGCUCAAAACGCUAUACAGCGAACGAGAAGGCGCUAGGAGCAAAGGAAAGUGGUUUUUCUAACAAACUCAUAUAAUCAGUUGCACGACCUACUCCAAUUUGAUUUUUUUCACAUAGUUAGACAUAAUUUAGUACUAUGAAAUGUUUCUGACCCAAAAUAUUACGAAAUAUGAUUGUUUACAUUAAAAUGCAAAAGUUGAUGAAAUAGUAUGAUAAGGUGAAAAAAGUGACAUUUUAUGUCUAGAAAGUCAGUUUUCAUCAAAAGUACAAUAACAAAAUUAGUUCCCAUUCAUCCUGUGUCCCCUAACACACUUGUGCUCUUUAUCCGCUCAAAACGCUAUACAGCGAACGAGAAGGCGCUAGGAGCAAGGAAAGUGGUUUUUCUAACAAAGUCAUAUAAUCAGUUGUCCGACCUACUCCAAUUUGAUUUUUUUCACAUAGUUAGACAUAAUUUAGUACUAUGAAAUGUUUCUGACCCAAAAUAUUACGAAAUAUGAUUGUUUACAUUAAAAUGCAAAAGUUGAUGAAAAAGUAUGAUAAGGUGAAAAAAGUGACAUUUUAUGUCUAGAAAGUCAGUUUUCACCAAAAGUACAAUAACAAAAUUAGUUCCCAUUCAUCCUGUGUCCUCUAACACACUUGUGCUCUUUAUCCGCUCAAAACGCUAUACAGCGAACGAGAAGGCGCUAGGAGCAAAGGAAAGUGGUUUUUCUAACAAACUCAUAUAAUCAAGUGCACGACCUACUCCAAUUUGAUUUUUUUCACAUAGUUAGACAUAAUAUAGUACUAUGAAAUGUUUCUGACCCAAAAUAUUACGAAAUAUGAUUGUUUACAUUAAAAUGCAAAAGUUGAUGAAAAAGUAUGAUAAGGUGAAAAAAGUGACAUUUUAUGUCUAGAAAGUCAGUUUUCAUCAAAAGUACAAUAACAAAAUUAGUUCCCAUUCAUCCUGUG